AUUUUGCCAUUCAAGAUCGAGACUAAAGAUUAUUUGAACUAUAAAGCAAAUUUUCACUCUUUAACGCUCCAUUUCGUACAUUACUUUGAUCAUUUUUCUUUUUAUCUAUUUUUUUCGUCGACCGUUUUCUUUGACGAUGUUUGUUAUAUGAUUCUAAAAGCAUCCACAAUGGUAGACUCUUAGCAAAACUCUU
rnacentral:sRNA from 1 species